rnacentral:sRNA from 1 species
AAGUCCGGUAAAAUGUCGGCGUGUAAUCUUCAGGCUGCAUAAGGACGUUUUCCUCUAUCUUUGACCACGGAUGUACUGGCAUUGAUUUGAAGAUUACGUCGAAAGGGUCGAGUGCACGCUCGGCCUUUUUUAUU